GACUGGGAGAUUGAACUCAGUGACCGCAGAGGUCCCUUCCAACUCUGUCAUUAUGAAAUGUCAGGUCACAAGAAAGAUUCAUGAGGAAAAGGUCGCCCUGAUAAGACUUUCCAAUUUGGGCACCUUUUAACUGAGUAAAAAAAGAGGGAGUGAAAGUGCAGGUCCACUUUAUGUUCCUUCUUCCAUUCAGUUAAUGCUUUUAGGAAUCUUUGCUCAGUACUAGAGACACACACACAGACAGGGAGAGACAGAGAUAGAGACAGACAGAGACAGACAGACAGAGACAAAGACAGACAGAGACAGAGCCAGAGUGACAUCCUUACAGUAUGUGACUAGGGCUAGACGGCUGCUGGAGUCCCUUGUUCUCAAAUUCUGUGAUUACUUUUCUUUACUGAGUUCUUUAAGAAGAGGAGACCAUUUUAUUCUCUUUCUGCAUGGUGAUGGUGUAUGGUUUUGAGUUGGAACAUGAUAGCCUCGGGAGAAUUUGAGAGGCAGAUCACCCAAAGGGCAACGGAGCAGUGGAAAUUGGUGGAUAUUUUAAGAGAAGAGGAAGACUUAAAAGGUUUCAACUCCUCUCACAUUACUUCGUCAUAA
rnacentral:lncRNA from 1 species